AGAGGUCAGCUCCUAGCCAGGGAUCUUGCCUCUUUGCUGCCUGCGGCCAGGACUAAGCAAGAGCCAGGCCCCCCCAACCCCCGGCCGUGCAGAAAAGACUCCACUGGAGACGCAAAUCGCUCGUCCGCGCCGCCGCUGCCGCCGCCGCCUCCGUCGCUGGAGUGAGAGGCGCACGAUUCCAGCGCACUGCGGAUUCCGCCCGAGGCUUCUAGCACCCAAGUAAUUCGCUCCAAUCUCUCCGGAAUCCUCGGAGCCGGCGCCCCUCGCCCGCGCGCCCCUCUCACGGUGCUGCAGCCGCCACCGCCGCGCUCAAGUCUGGCCCCAGAUGUUUCCAACAGCAGCGCCGUCCAGUAAUUACGAGGGCUCGACUGGCGCCGAGUGUGCCCGGACGGCAUCCGAGGUCCGACCUCCUCCAGCCGAGCCCUUCACACCUCCCUUUUUUCUUAGCGCUUUCCCG
rnacentral:lncRNA from 1 species